rnacentral:rRNA from 1 species
AGUGAACGCUGGCGGUAGGCCUAACACAUGCAAGUCGAACGGCAGCACAGUAAUAGCUUGCUCUUACGGGUGGCGAGUGGCGGACGGGUGAGGAAUACAUCGGAAUCUACUUUUUCGUGGGGGUUAACGUAGGGAAACUUACGCUAAUACCGCAUACGACCUACGUGUGAAAGCAGGGGAUCUUCGGAUCUUGCGCGAUUGAAUGAGCCGAUGUCGGAUUAGCUAGUUGGCGGGGUAAAGGCCCACCAAGGCGACGAUCCGUAGCGGGUCUGAGAGGAUGAAGCGGCACACUGGAAGUGAAACGCGGUACAGACUCCUACGGGCGGCAGCGGUGGGGACUAUUGGCAGCUGGGCGGAAGAUUGAUCAAGCCAUACCGCGUGGGUGAAGAAGGCCUUCGGGUUGUAAAGAGCUUUUGUUGGGAAAGACAACCAGCAGGUUAAUACACCGCUGUUCUGACGGUACCCAAAUAAUAAGCACCGGCUAACUUCGUG